rnacentral:rRNA from 1 species
UACGUAGGCAGCAAGCGUUGUUCGGAGUUACUGGGCGUAAAGGGUGUGUAGGCGGUUUUCUAAGUUUGGUGUGAAAUCUCCCGGCUCAACCGGGAGGGUGCGCCGAAAACUGGGAGACUAGAGUGCGGGAUGGGAGAGUAGAAUUCCUGGUGUAGCGGUGAAAUGCGUAGAUAUCAGGAGGAAUACCGGUGGUGUAGACGGCUCUCUGGACCGCCACUGACGCUGAGACACGAAAGCUAGGGGAGCAAACAGG